UACGUAGGCAGCAAGCGUUGUUCGGAGUUACUGGGCGUAAAGGGUGUGUAGGCGGUUCGUUAAGGUUGCUGUGAAAUCUCCCGGCUUAACCGGGAGGGUGCGGUGAAUACUGAGGGACUAGAGUACGGGAGAGGAAAGUGGAAUUCCUGGUGUAGCGGUGAAAUGCGUAGAUAUCAGGAGGAACACCGGUGGUGUAGACGGCUUUCUGGACCGACACUGACGCUGAGACACGAAAGCGUGGGUAGCAAACAGG
rnacentral:rRNA from 1 species